rnacentral:misc_RNA from 1 species
AUUAAAUUGGCUUCUGAGCUAGAGAGAAUUGCUUCUUUGAAGGCUCAGUCAAAUAUAGUAUCAAAGGAAAUACAUUCCAUUCACAUAAAUCCAUCUUGUCAAAAUCAAUUGGCAUUUCAUCUUGAUGAUGGCUGGUCAGGUGUUUUGGAUGUCCAUAGUUUGAAAGUCACACAUAUUCAUUGUCCUCCUCCACCUUGGUUGGAUGGCUUCAAUGAUUUGGCUAACUUACGUUGUUUACGGAAACCUUCAUGGAUACCAGCGUAUUCUAUUUAUGUGGUUGGAUCAUUGUCAAGUAAUGGGCUCUAUCUUUUGGAUUUCUAUCCAGAUCGAAGCUCCCCUUGCCAUGUGGAUUUCAAUGAAGAGAUGCAAGAGCUUUGUGGAGGAAAGAGCCUGCAGAAGCAAAAUCAAUUCAUUCCAACAACUGAAGGUGUUACUGCAUGUAUUACUCACCCCUCAAGUGGAACCAUUGUGGUUGGAACCAAGCACUCGUCGCUCCUGGUGAUUUCACAAAUAGGCAAGUCAUUUCAAGGUGCAUAUGAUUCUCCUUGCUCAGAAGGCAAUCUUAGAAGAACCAGCUAAAUAUCACAUGCUUAUACACAUCUACCAAGCUAGAAUUCAGUUGCGCAUAGUGCAGCAGGAAGAUAUUGGCAGUGCUGAGCUUUACAUGAAUGUGUGAAGUCUUUGUUAGAGGGCAAGGUUUCGGACCACAUGUCAUUUGAAUGUACAAAGGAUAUGUAGAGGCAGGUGAAGAUUGCUCCGUCUGCUUUAUGUGUGAAUCAUGGAAGAAUAUUGUCUGCCCUGAGUAAUGAUUCACUGAAGUUGAUGUCGACCCCAGCUAGAUCCUUGAGCAAGUGAAUGAGGUGGUAUAAAUAUAGCCGUCAACUUUAUGCUUUGUGGAGGUGUUAGUCGUAAAUAGUGGAUGCAGCUGUAUCUACAGUGACUGACUUACAAUUCUGGAUUUUUGUUGAUAUUUUUCACUUGUGUGUUUUCGUGGUAUAGUGGGUGAUCAUUCCUUUGCGUCUAUAACAUCCAUAUCCCUUCAUUACUGUGCUUUAGCAAUGCUAUUGCUUGUACAGCUUCCAGGAGGUGCACCAUCCACAAUAUUCUCCUGUUAUCAUGUUAAAAUUAUGCAUCCGCCAGUUUUUCCAGGGUUCGUCUUGUCAAUGGAUUUGAUUUGGGAACUAUGUUUAUUUAUAAAAUUUUAAUUUUCAAGAUUGAUUUUUAAAUGAUGACUAAAUAUAUACAUUUUCAAAGUUAAUUUUUGUGAAGGUGAGGUUCACUUA